GACGAACGCUGGCGGCGUGCCUAAUACAUGCAAGUCGAGCGCGAGAAGCACCUUCGGGUGUGGAUCGAGCGGCGAACGGGUGAGUAACACGUGGGUAACCUACCGAUCAGCCUGGGAUAACUCCGGGAAACCGGAGCUAAUACCGGAUAUGCCUCUUUUUCGCAUGAAGGAGAGGGGAAAGCUGGCUUUUGGCUAGCACUGAUCGAUGGGCCCGCGGCGCAUUAGCUAGUUGGUGGGGGAAAGGCCUACCAAGGCGACGAUGCGUAGCCGACCUGAGAGGGUGACCGGCCACACUGGGAGUGAGACACGGCCCAGACUCCUACGGGAGGCAGCAGUAGGGAAUUUUCCGCAAUGGGCGAAAGCCUGACGGAGCAACGCCGCGUGAGUGAUGACGGUCUUCGGAUUGUAAAGCUCUGUUCUCAAGGAUGAAUCCGUUUCAGUCGAACAGACUGAAACGUUGACAGUACUUGAGCAGAAAGCCCCGGCUAACUAC
rnacentral:rRNA from 1 species